GCCCCCGCCCCACGGGGCGCAGCAGGCGCGAAAACUUUGCAAUGCGGGAAACCGUGACAGGGGAACUCCGAGUGCCCGUAAAAUCGGGCUGUCCAUCAGGUAAA
rnacentral:rRNA from 1 species